rnacentral:lncRNA from 1 species
GGCUGUGCCAUCUUAAUUAUCACAUGGGUAAGCAGGAUCAGGCUGCAGGAACAUGAAGUCUCCUGUGGAUGCUUCUGCUCUUCAGAGUAGACCAAGGGAGUGGAAGGAGGGUUUGAAGGGGGGGGGUUAAGUGACACCCCAACCCCCAUGCAGCGUAGGAAGGAAGCAGCUUCUGGAGCUAUCUCAAUCUGCACUGGGUGCCCCAGUUUGGAGCUGUAUAGAAACAGAUCACAAUUUGGUAAAUUCUACCUGCUGGAGAAGUUUUUCAGCAUUCCCUAGGAAAGCAUUAUAUCUACGAUCACCCAUGUUACCUGGAAACAAAAGACACCUGAAUUUUUGGAGCAAAACCUGGCACUCAGCUACACUUGCCAUAUGAGCGCCCAGUCUGAGCUGGUGAGUCUCCCUUUUUAGUUGUUUUUCUGUCCCUCCCUCAUGACUGAUUUAUAGCCUGCAGCCCCCAAAAAUAAAUAAGUAAAUACAGAAAUACA